rnacentral:rRNA from 1 species
AUUGAACGCUGGCGGCAGGCUUAACACAUGCAAGUCGAGCGAGCGGCGGACGGGUGAGUAAUGUCUGGGAAACUGCCUGAUGGAGGGGGAUAACUACUGGAAACGGUCGCUAAUACCGCAUACCAUCAGACGUGCCCAGAUGGGAUUAGCUCGUAGGUGGGGUACUGGCUCACCUAGGCGACGAUCCCUAGCUGGUCUGAGAGGAUGACCAGCCACACUGGAACUGAGACACGGUCCAGUCUCCUACGGGAGGCAGCAGUGGGGAAUAUUGCACAAUGGGCGCAAGCCUGAUACAGCAAUGCCGCGGGUGUGAAGAAGGCCUUCGGGUUGUAAAGCACUUGCAGCGAGGAGGCGUUACUCGAAGAGGAAGCAACGGCUAACUCCGUGCCAGCAGCCGCGGUAAUUC